rnacentral:rRNA from 1 species
AUACGUAGGGGGCAAGCGUUAUCCGGAUUUACUGGGUGUAAAGCGAGUGUAGACGGCUGCACAAGUCCGAUGUGAAAUACCGGGGCUCAACCCCGGGGCUGCAUUUGAAACUGUCGUUCUUGAGUGAGGUAGAGGUAAGCGGAAUUCCUAGUGUAGCGGUGAAAUGCGUAGAUAUUAGGAGGAACAUCGGUGGCGAAGGCGGCUUACUGGGCCUUUACUGACGCUGAGGCACGAAAGCGUGGGGAGCAAACAGGAUUAGAUACCCUGGUAGUCCACGCUGUAAACGAUGAAUACUAGGUGUAGGGGGUAUCGACUCCCUCUGUGCCGCAGUUAACACAAUAAGUAUUCCGCCUGGGGAGUACGGCCGCAAGGUUGAAACUCAAAUGAAUUGACGGGG